CCGUGCUAGAUGGGGAGGUAGCGGUGCCCUAUUCCUGCAAUCCGCUGUAGCAGGGUUGAAUUCCUAUUAUAGGCUUUUUCCUGUAGGGUCUGCCCCCUGCAAGUGGCAAUGAAAACCGGGUCUUACGCAAUGAAAACCUGUGAACCCCGUCAGGUUCGGAAGAAAGCAGCGGUAAGCAGACAUUUUCAUGUGCCGUAAGCAUUGCCUGGUUAGAGUUAACUACAAGGGUUACGCUUGUAAGAUUUAAGUCGAAAAUAGGUGCACGG
rnacentral:SRP_RNA from 1 species